UACUUCGGUAGUGAAUUAGCGGCGAACGGGUGAGGAACACGUGAGGAAUCUGCCUUCUACACUGGGAUAACUCCGGGAAACCGGGGCUAAUACCGGAUAUGAAACUUGGUGGCAUCACCGAGUUUGGAAAGUUUUUCGGUAGAAGAUGACCUCGCGGCCUAUCAGCUUGUUGGUGAGGUAAUGGCUCACCAAGGCGACGACGGGUAGCCGGCCUGAGAGGGCGACCGGCCACACUGGGACUGAGACACGGCCCAGACUCCUACGGGAGGCAGCAGUGGGGAAUAUUGGGCAAUGGAGGAAACUCUGACCCAGCGACGCCGCGUGCGGGAUGAAGGCCUUCGGGUUGUAAACCGCUUUCAGUAGGGAAGAAGCGAAAGUGACGGUACCUACAGAAGAAGCACCGGCUAACUAUGUGCCAGCAGCCGCGGUAAUACAUAGGGUGCAAGCGUUGUCCGGAAUUAUUGGGCGUAAAGAGCUCGUAGGUGGUUCGUUACGUCGGAUGUGAAAAUCUGGGGCUCAACCCCAGACCUGCAUCCGAUACGGUCGAGCUAGAGUUUGGUAGGGGAGACUGGAAUUCCUGGUGUAGCGGUGGAAUGCGCAGAUAUCAGGAGGAACACCAAUGGCGAAGGCAGGUCUCUGGGCCAAUACUGACACUGAGGAGCGAAAGCGUGGGGAGCGAACAGGAUUAGAUACCCUGGUAGUCCACGCCGUAAACGGUGGGCGCUAGUUGUGGGAACCUUCCACGGUUUCUGCGACGCAGCUAACGCAUUAAGCGCCCCGCCUGGGGAGUACGAUCGCAAGAUUAAAACUCAAAGGAAUUGACGGGGCCCCGCACAAGCAGCGGACCAUGCGGCUUAAUUCGACGCA
rnacentral:rRNA from 1 species